rnacentral:piRNA from 1 species
UAUAAUAAUCCUAUUGUGUGA